CUCGCUGUAGUCUAGGUGGUUAGGAUACAAGACUCUCACUCUUGGGACCGGGGUUCGAGUCCCCGCAGCGAGG
rfam:Coccomyxa subellipsoidea C-169, whole genome shotgun sequence.